CCUACGGGAGGCAGCAGUGGGGAAUAUUGGACAAUGGGGGAAACUCUUAUCCAGCGACGCCGCGUGAGGGAAGAAGGUUUUCGGAUUGUAAACCUCUGUCAGUGGGGACGAUAAUGACGGUACCCACGGAGGAAGCCACGUCUCACUACGUGCCAGCAGCCGCGGUACUCCGUAGGUGGCAAGCGUUGUCCGGAAUUACUGGGUGUAAAGGGAGAGUAGGCGGGAUGUCAAGUCAGAAGUGACAAUUAUGGGCUCAACUCAUAACCUGCUUUGGAAACUGAUAUUCUUGAGUGAAGUGGAGGCAAGCGGAAUUGCUAGGGUAGCGGUGAAAUGCGUAGAUAGUAGGAGGAACACCAGUGGCGAAGGCGGCUUGCUGGGCUUUUACUGACGCUGAGGCUCGAAAGCGUGGGGAGCAAACAGGAUUAGAUACCCCAGUAGUC
rnacentral:rRNA from 1 species